rnacentral:rRNA from 1 species
GAUGAACGCUGGCGGCGUGCCUAAUACAUGCAAGUCGAGCGAACAGAUGAGGAGCUUGCUCCUCUGACGUUAGCGGCGGACGGGUGAGUAACACGUGGAUAACCUACCUAUAAGACUGGGAUAACUUCGGGAAACCGGAGCUAAUACCGGAUAAUAUAUUGAACCGCAGGGUUCAAUAGUGAAAGACGGUUUUGCUGUCACUUAUAGAUGGAUCCGCGCCGCAUUAGCUAGUUGGUAAGGUAACGGCUUACCAAGGCAACGAUGCGUAGCCGACCUGAGAGGGUGAUCGGCCACACUGGAACUGAGACACGGUCCAGACUCCUACGGGAGGCAGCAGUAGGGAAUCUUCCGCAAUGGGCGAAAGCCUGACGGAGCAACGCCGCGUGAGUGAUGAAGGUCUUCGGAUCGUAAAACUCUGUUAUUGGGGAAGAACAAAUGUGUAAGUAACUAUGCACGUCUUGACGGUACCUAAUCAGAAAGCCACGGCUAACUACGUG